rnacentral:rRNA from 1 species
UGGUGGAGUGAUUUGUCUGGUUAAUUCCGUUAACGAGCGAGACGCUCAACUGCUAUGUUUGUGGGCUAUUCCAAAUCAUGGCGCAAGCCAUGGCAGCCGCACAACAGCAGGACUAUCGGUUGUCAAGCCGAAGGAAGGGUGAGGCAAUAACA